GGGGUAGUGGCAAAGUGGUUACUGCGCUUCCUUCGCAUUUCAAUCAGAUCUGCAAAAGUACUCUUCAGGAAGAGAUCCUGGGUUCGAUUCCCAGCUACUCCA